ensembl:misc_RNA Metazoa_SRP Metazoan signal recognition particle RNA
GCCAGGCAUGGUGGUUCAUGCCUGUGGUCCCAGCUACUCAGGAGGCUGAGGCAGGAGGAUCACUUGAGCCCAGGAGUUUGAGGCUGCCAUGAGCCUUGAUCACCCAUUGUACUCCAGCAUGGGCGACAGAGUGAGACCCUGUCUCUU